rnacentral:lncRNA from 1 species
CAUUAUAGUACAGCAUACUGAAGCUCUGUUUUCGUGCAGAAUUUUUAUUUCAAAUCUGAGUCAAGAUUUGCUUCAAUUAUAUAUUCAGGCACGUGCGUCUAGGCAAGACGAGACUUACUCAGCAAGUUUUGUUGAAGUCGGUCAAAGGAAAGUGAUUUAAAACAAAAAUAUAAUUAUAUUAUAUUUCUGGCGUUUUUUUUUUGUUUGGUACAACAUGAAACAAACAAAUUAUAUUUUUGAAAUUAAUUUAGGGUUGGGCCACAAUUCUCACAGCUGUACAAGUCUGAAGACCUAACUUGGACAUCAAGAAAAUUGAAGACUAUAAAUAUGUGAAGCCUCAAGCCUUUACAACUCGUGUAUUCAAAACCUUGUCUUUCAUAAAGCGUGCGUUUUUUAAGGUUUUGGUUGUGUGUUUUUU